AUCAACAAACUCGAAGUAUCACAUCCUUUUAGCUGUAAACACUGGGCUAAGGAAGGGCCAGUGACUUUCAGAAGAUGAAGACGGGUAGAAAAUUCUGCCAGGACUGCGUGAGACCCCAGAGUUAAAGUCCCGUGGGAGUUUCUAACCGCUCAGCUGGAGGCAGCCCACCCGGUCCAUAGGCAAAGCACAGGAAUCGCCACGAUGAUCUCACAACCCACAACCAAGGAGAACAUUAUAGUUCUCACACCAAGUGGUAUCAACUUCCUCGAAACAGAGAAAUCUAAACCCACCAACCAGAAGCAAGACAGUGUGAAGAAAUGUCUAAAGGCAGAGGUCAAAGUUCUUGCGACUAUCCAGAUCAUGUGUGGCGUGAUGAUAUUGGGUCUGGGAAUCAUGUUGGCCUCUGCUUCCUUCUCUCCGUAUUUCACCCACAUGUUUUCCAUCCUGGUGAAUGCUGCUUACCCAUUCGUAGGAGCCUUUUCCGUGAGUAGAGAUCCUCAGGAGGCCAAGAUGGGGUGGAGUUCAUCCUUUCUGGAUCACUCUCAAUCAUCACAGAGAAGAAAUCAACUAAGCUGUUGGCUCAGAGCACCCUGGCUGCAAACGUUCUGAGUUCUCUAUCUGCUCUAUCGGGAUUCAUUUUCCUCUCUGUCAGACUGGCUGCUUUGGAUCCUGCCUUUCAGACGUGUAAAUUAAAUGAAAGAUCACCUCAUCCUUAUUUUUCUUUAUUUCAACCGUUUCAACAAGACUGCUCCAUGGCUAAAUCUAUUCUGGCUGGAACUAUGUCUAUGAUACUGAUUUGUACAGUGCUGGAGUUCUUUCUAGCUGUGCUCUCUGCUGUGGUUUGGUGGAAACAGUCUUACUCUGAUUUCCCUGGGGGUGUGCUCUUCCUGCCUCAGAAUCACAAGAAUAAAUCCAGCAUGUCUCCAAAGGCGCCUCAUGACCCUGAUUAUGAAGAACUAUUGGCUUCUUAGAGGGAAAUAGUCAUCAGAAAUUUGGUUUGAUGAUGAUAUAUGAAAACCAACCAAGAAACCCAGCCCAAGAAAGCAAAGUUUGAGCUGCUUGAAAUGUAGGCUUUUAUGUAGUGAGUAUUAAAAAAGAAAAUGUUUUCUUAUCAUCA